UCCCUGGUGGUCCAGUAGCUAAGACUCCAUGCUCCAAAUGCAGGAGGCCCAGGUUCAAUCCUUGGUCAGGGAA
rnacentral:tRNA from 1 species